CCUGUUUAACAAAAACAUUGCUUAUUUUAUUUAUUUUAAGUAUAAUCUGCUCACUGAAAUUAAUUAAACAGCCGCAGUAAACUAACUGUGCUAAGGUAGCAUAAUAAAUUGUACUUUAAUUUUGUACUUGAAUGAAUGAUUUAACAAGUAAAAAACUUUCUUAAAAAAAUUUUAAAUUAAAUUUAAUAUUUAGUGAAAAUGCUUAAAUUUUAAUAAGGGACGAGAAGACCCUAUAGAUCUUUAUUUUUUAAAAUUUUAUUGGGGCCAUAAAAUGAAAAAAAAAUUCAUUUUUAUAAAUUCCGUCAUUAACGAUCUUAUUUAUCUUUAAUUUAUAGAUUAAAAAAAAGUUACCUUAGGGAUAACAGCGUAAUAAUAUUAUUGAAGAUCUAAUUUAAUUUUAUGAUUACGACCUCGAUGUUGAAUUAAGAUUUCUAUUAAUAGAAGAAGAUUAAAUAGUCAGUCUGUUCGACUGUUAAAAUCU
rnacentral:rRNA from 1 species